CAUUUCGUCCGUGACUUUCCGUAAAGCUAGAAGUGUUCGCGUUUGUUAGUUAGUGUUUCGUUUGCCAAAAUAGGUUAAAGUUAAGUGUGCGGUGUGAAAUUGUGUGCGAUAGUGGAAAUCAAAGCCAAGAUAGAAGCCAUAUUGGCUUGGGCUUCUCACCCGCAGAAUUUCCACGCACCCAAGCGCGAUACCUGUUCCCCCAACUGACGGAAAAUUCCCGACCACCGACUACCCGUCGGAAGUUGACUGGUCCGUCACCAUACUGGGGUGACAUUGCGCAUCUCGAAUCGAAUCACUCGAUUCGUAAGUUUUUCGAUUCGUUUCGAAAAAAUUGCGGCAUUAUGUAUUUCGUUCGACUUCAUUCAGUCGCAGUACAAGAUUUCGAAUGGUGUUGUACUAGUUCAAUCGAGUAUGUUCUGUCAAACGGAAUGUAAACAGAGAGAAUAAGAGAUAGCUGUCUCCGUGUUUAGUAUGCCGCCUGCAGGAGAGACAACCUUCAGCGCAUGGCGAAUGUGAGUAAACAGAGAGAAUAAGAGUAAUUUCAUCUGCGUGUAGUAUGUUGCCUGUUGGAUAGGCAUCCUUCAUGGCAUGAAUUGACAGUUAAUUUAUAAACAAGCAAA